CAAGCAGUAUUAGGUGUUCCUGCCAACAUCUUCAGCUAAGAAUUCAACUCCUCACUAAUAUUGAUUGUGAUACCUGAGAAUGAGUAAACCUCUAGGACAGAGUCAGCAAACAUUUUCUUUAAGAGCCAAGUAGCAGAUAUUUAGACUAUUCUUAGUUCAUGGGCUGUAUAAAAAUAGACAGAAUUUGGCCUGUGAGGCUGUAGUUUACCCUGCUUUAAAUGGUUCCUAUACCCAACCUUUAAGGCAUCCCAGCUAAAGGUGAGUGGAGCAGAAAUGAGCUGACCCCACUGAGCUUUGUCCAAAUGUUUCCUCUUCCAUAAAAUGAAGAUAACAGUAGUACCUCUUGGAUGGAUGUGUUAAGAAAAAGAUAAUGCCUGUGAAGUACCUAGCGCAGGACCUAGCACAGUACAUAGCACGGUACCUGGAGAACUGUGAUGAGCUUGUUUCCCACUUCACUGGAAAACAAAAUGGGAAUAUUCAGAAGAUAAGUUCCACAGCUCCCAUAGCAUCUUCCUAUCUACCAGGAUUUGGACCUUCUACACCCUGCUCCCAUUAAGGAAUUAGCCUUGCUCUUGUCCAAAACUAGCCUUUGCGUAUGCCUUAGAUCCUAUCCCCCUUGCUUGCUCACAGGCUUUGCUCCAGCAAUUCUCCCUAUUUUUCCCCUAUACCAUCAGCUUCCUCUCUCUACUAGGUCAUUUCCACCAGCACACAACAAUACUGUCUCUCUCAUCUUAGAAAUGGAAACUAACAAAAUUGAGUUCACUUUUCCUUCUGACACUAUCCCUUUUCUACCUCCCCCACUUUACAGCAAAACUCUUUGAAAGCUGCCUGAAUUUCACUGCUUCCAUUUCCUCUCCUCUUCUCACUUAAACCUACUGCUGCCAGAACCGGGACUCCACCACCUCACCAGACCCCUGCUUGUCAAUAUCAUCAAUGACUUCCAUCUUGCUAAAUCCAUUUCUUGUCCCCAUUGAACUUGACCCUCAGUAACACCUUGUCAAAUUAACCACUCCCUUCUCAUGGAAAUGAUUUCUUGUUUUCUAAGACACUACACAUUUCGUUUUCCUUCAACACCCCUGGAUGCUGCUUCCCAGUCUUGUCCCUUAACCUCCUAGCACUGAAGUGAUGCAGGGCUCAGUCCACAGAUCUCUUCAUCUUUCCUGUUCACUCCAUACUCACCCUCUUGGUAAUUCCCUUCCAGUUUCAUCGUUUAAAUGGCAUCUGUCUGCAAAUGAUUAUCAAAUGUAUGCCUCCAGCCAUGGCCACUGCUCUCAACGUUAGCUUAUCCAUCUAACUGUCAACUCUGUAUCUCUACCUGGACGCCUGAUGGAGGUCUCCAAUGUACCAUGCCCUAAACUGAAAUUUUGAUCUUCUUUAUCCACAGAAUCUGCUCGACCCUAUCUCAGUUAAAGGCAUAUGUUACUAAAGCCAAAGUCAGCAAAGAAGGAGCCUCCAUGCUUGGAAACAACCCAGCUAACUGCCAUCUGUGUGGUAGCUUGAGUGUGGAUUGAAGAACGGAGAGUCAGGAUUCUAGGGGAGAGUGGAACCAAUGGCUGGGCUGGAACCUGCAUGCCAGCACCUCCCCCACAUGCUGUUGGUCAAGCCAGAUUCAAGAGAUGGGGAAACAGACUCCGCCUCUGGAUGCCGCAAAGUCCCACGGCAAAGGGCAGGAAUAUAGAGAUCCUCUGGGACUUUUCAAAAUGCCCCAAUUCAAGGAAAGCUCUGAGGAUGUAGUAAUUAUAAUCCCAGGUCAGCUGGGAAGGAAGAAAAAGAAGGAAAGAAGAAAAACAGGAGGAACACACAAUCUCCAAAUACAUAUUUCUAUUGUAAUAGUAUAGUGUGAGUAAAUAUUGUGUGCUUUAUUCAAUUUUCCUAAAUGCAUAAAAUAAAAAUAU
rnacentral:lncRNA from 1 species